rnacentral:rRNA from 1 species
UUAGUGGCGAACGGGUGAGUAACACGUGAGUAACCUGCCCCUGACUCUGGGAUAAGCGUUGGAAACGACGUCUAAUACUGGAUAUGAUCGCCGGCCGCAUGGUCUGGUGGUGGAAAGAUUUUUUGGUUGGGGAUGGACUCGCGGCCUAUCAGCUUGUUGGUGAGGUAAUGGCUCACCAAGGCGACGACGGGUAGCCGGCCUGAGAGGGUGACCGGCCACACUGGGACUGAGACACGGCCCAGACUCCUACGGGAGGCAGCAGUGGGGAAUAUUGCACAAUGGGCGAAAGCCUGAUGCAGCAACGCCGCGUGAGGGAUGACGGCCUUCGGGUUGUAAACCUCUUUUAGUAGGGAAGAAGCGAAAGUGACGGUACCUGCAGAAAAAGCACCGGCUAACUACGUGCCAGCAGCCGCGGUAAUACGUAGGGUGCAAGCGUUGUCCGGAAUUAUUGGGCGUAAAGAGCUCGUAGGCGGUUUGUCGCGUCUGCUGUGAAAUCCCGAGGCUCAACCUCGGGCUUGCAGUGGGUACGGGCAGACUAGAGUGCGGUAGGGGAGAUUGGAAUUCCUGGUGUAGCGGUGGAAUGCGCAGAUAUCAGGAGGAACACCGAUGGCGAAGGCAGA